rnacentral:rRNA from 1 species
CAGUAGCCGCGGUAAUACGGAGGGAGCUAGCGUUGUUCGGAAUCACUGGGCGUAAAGCGCACGUAGGCGGCUAUUCAAGUCAGGGGUGAAAGCCCGGGGCUCAACCCCGGAACUGCCUUUGAAACUAGAUAGCUUGAAUCUUGGAGAGGCGAGUGGAAUUCCGAGUGUAGAGGUGAAAUUCGUAGAUAUUCGGAAGAACACCAGUGGCGAAGGCGACUCGCUGGACAAGUAUUGACGCUGAGGUGCGAAAGCGUGGGGAGCAAACAGGAUUAGAGACCCCGGUAGUCCCUGUCUCUUAUAC